rnacentral:SRP_RNA from 1 species
UGCCAGGAACCAUGCGAGAGGCCGCCGCCCAACCCCGCCAGGUCCGGAAGGAAGCAACGGUAAGCGUUUGGCUUUUGCGCCGUGGACCUCCUGGCGGGG